rnacentral:tRNA from 1 species
AUCUUUAUAGUUUAUAAAGAAUAAAGGUUUGUGGUACCUUAGGUGUGAAUUAUCACUAAAGAUC